rnacentral:rRNA from 1 species
UGGAGGGGGAUAACUACUGGAAACGGUGGCUAAUACCGCAUAACGUCGCAAGACCAAAGAGGGGGACCUUCGGGCCUCUUGCCAUCAGAUGUGCCCAGAUGGGAUUAGCUUGUUGGUGAGGUAACGGCUCACCAAGGCGACGAUCCCUAGCUGGUCUGAGAGGAUGACCAGCCACACUGGAACUGAGACACGGUCCAGACUCCUACGGGAGGCAGCAGUGGGGAAUAUUGCACAAUGGGCGCAAGCCUGAUGCAGCCAUGCCGCGUGUAUGAAGAAGGCCUUCGGGUUGUAAAGUACUUUCAGCGGGGAGGAAGGUGUUGUGGUUAAUAACCGCAGCAAUUGACGUUACCCGCAGAAGAAGCACCGGCUAACUCCGUGCCAGCAGCCGCGGUAAUACGGAGGGUGCAAGCGUUAAUCGGAAUUACUGGGCGUAAAGCGCACGCAGGCGGUCUGUCAAGUCGGAUGUGAAAUCCCCGGGCUCAACCUGGGAACUGCAUUCGAAACUGGCAGGCUUGAGUCUUGUAGAGGGGGGUAGAAUUCCAGGUGUAGCGGUGAAAUGCGUAGAGAUCUGGAGGAAUACCGGUGGCGAAGGCGGCCCCCUGGACAAAGACUGACGCUCAGGUGCGAAAGCGUGGGGAGCAAACAGGAUUAGAUACCCUGGUAGUCCACGCCGUAAACGAUGUCUACUUGGAGGUUGUGCCCUUGAGGCGUGGCUUCCGGAGCUAACGCGUUAAGUAGACCGCCUGGGGAGUACGGCCGCAAGGUUAAAACUCAAAUGAAUUGACGGGGGCCCGCACAAGCGGUGGAGCAUGUGGUUUAAUUCGAUGCAACGCGAAGAACCUUACCUGGUCUUGACAUCCACAGAACUUUCCAGAGAUGGAUUGGUGCCUUCGGGAACUGUGAGACAGGUGCUGCAUGGCUGUCGUCAGCUCGUGUUGUGAAAUGUUGGGUUAAGUCCCGCAACGAGCGCAAC